AGAACGAACGCUGGCGGCAGGCUUAACACAUGCAAGUCGAACGGUGUAGCAAUACACAGUGGCGCACGGGUGAGUAACGCGUGGGAACGUGCCCUUGAGUACGGAAUAACAGCGGGAAACUGCUGCUAAUACCGUAUAUUCUCUUCGGAGGAAAGAUUUAUCGCUCAAGGAUCGGCCCGCGUCAGAUUAGCUAGUUGGUGGGGUAAUGGCCUACCAAGGCUCCGAUCUGUAGCUGUUCUGAGAGGAAGAUCAGCCACACUGGAACUGAGACACGGUCCAGACUCCUACGGGAGGCAGCAGUGGGGAAUAUUGGACAAUGGGGGAAACCCUGAUCCAGCCAUGCCGCGUGAGUGAUGAAGGCCUUAGGGUUGUAAAGCUCUUUUACCAGGGAAGAUGAUGACGGUACCUGGAGAAUAAGCACCGGCUAACUUCGUGCCAGCAGCC
rnacentral:rRNA from 1 species